rnacentral:rRNA from 1 species
UAACACAUGCAAGUCGAACGCAGUAGCAAUACUGAGUGGCGAACGGGUGAGUAUAAUGUGGGUAUCUGCCUUUUGGUUUGGAAUAACACGAGGAAACUUGUGCUAAUACCGGAUAAGCCCUUACGGGGAAAGUUUUAACGCCAAGAGAUGAGCCCACACUUGAUUAGCUUGUUGGUAAGGUAAAAGCUUACCAAGGCUACGAUCAAUAGCUGAUCUGAGAGGAUGAUCAGCCACAUUGGGGCUGAGACACGGCCCAAACUCCUACGGGAGGCAGCAGUGGGGAAUCUUGCACAAUGGGGGAAACCCUGAUGCAGCGAUGCCGCGUGAGUGAAGAAGGCCUUUGGGUUGUAAAGCUCUUUCGUCGGGGAAGAAAAUGACUGUACCCGAAUAAGAAGGUCCGGCUAACUUCGUGCCAGCAGCCGCGGUAAUACGAAGGGACCUAGCGUAGUUCGGAAUUACUGGGCUUAAAGAGCUCGUAGGUGGUUAAGAAAGUUGGUGGUGAAAUCCCAAGGCUUAACCUUGGAACUGCCACCAAAACUUUUUAACUAGAGUAUGAUAGAGGUAAGCGGAAUUUCUAGUGUAGAGGUGAAAUUCGUAGAUAUUAGAAAGAACACCAAUUGCGAAGGCAGCUUUCUGGAUCAUUACUGACACUGAGGAGCGAAAGCAUGGGUAGCGAAGAGGAUUAGAUACCCUCGUAGUCCAUGCCGUAAACGAUGUGUGCUAGACGUUGGAAAUUUUAUUUUCAGUGUCGCAGCAAAAGCGUUAAGCACACCGCCUGGGGAGUAC